rnacentral:tRNA from 1 species
GGUAAGAUGGCUGAGCUUAGGCGUUAAGCUGUAAACUUAUUAACGAAUUAAAUUUCUCUUACC